CCGCUUCAGUAAUCUAUGCGGAAAGAUUAGCUUAAAACCGGCUUGUAUGUACCAUUUUUUAUUACUUUGUUUCACACAAGACGUUUAAAGGCUUCUCCUUGGAUCUCAAAUUAACGGAGAGUAACAUGGGAUUCUGGUCGCUCAUUUUCCUUAACGUUACUUUAAUUUUGAUGACUACCACUGGAGAAUUGUUAGGAAAAGAAAGCGAAAAGCCAUGGGAUUGGGCUCAAAGGCGUGCGCUUGAACUCAAGGACCUCAGUGAACGCAGACCGUGUAUCUCGUGGCAAUGCAGGAGAAACAUGUUACUACAAAAAAAUACCUUUCUAAACUUCCUCAGAGGUGGCGGGUCCACAGAUAAGAAAUCCAGUGUAUACGGUGCAAAGGAAGAAGAGCCUUGCAUUAGUUGGGAAUGUAGACGAAAACGACGGGCAGUCAAUGGUGUCCCACCACAGGAUGGACCCAAACCAGGACCAGAAGACAUCCCGUGCCUCACAAGAGACUGCCGAACUGGAAAGAGAAGCACUGUCGAAGAUUCUGGUCCGAUGAGAAAACUCCGCAUCGCUCGCUCAGUUCCUGCCGAACCCCAAAACCAACCAGGCUGUCUCUCUUGGUUCUGUCAGAAUGGGAAACGACAGGCGGAAUAAAUUCCAAUAGAUUUGAAGUCAACACAGCUGGCCACCUUGAGAAUCUCCCCCAAGUACUCUAGUAAAAUAGAAUCGCUUAUUAUGAAUUAAUCACUUAUAGCUAGUAAAAAAAAUUAGGAGGAACCAAACACACGUGAGAGAGACGCUGUCAAUCUGUUAUUUUAUCCUAACUGAAAAAAGCAGGCUAAUGACUUGUGUGUUUUUAUCUUUACUUUAUAUUAUCAUAGAGGAAAUUGCUCAAAACGUUUUUAGCUUAUUGUGCACUUAUGAUAAAUAAAAUUUAAGCAUUAUGAUGAUCA